AAAGAGCGACAAGACCGAGCAGACGGAUCCCCCUUCUCCAGGCACAUCCGGUACCCGGCAACUGCGUCUGCGGAUGCAUCGCGUGAAGAAGAUCGAGUCGGAAGCUGCCGAGUCGGCGGCUCCAUCCCAGAGGUCCUUGCGAACGCCCCCUCCCACAGAAAGUUCCAACGAAACCAGCGUGCCGCCCAAGAAGCGCGGUCGCUCCAAGAAAUAGAAGGAGAUUCUGAUGAUUCGAAUGAGAUGUUUGAUUGAAUCCCCGCCAUUACUGUAUAUUGCCACACUUUCUAUAUUUUUUGUUUCACUUUGAAAUCUAUAUUUUAUGGCUUAUUAGUUCGAUGUUCCAAAUAAAAGUGUUAAAGUAUA
rnacentral:sRNA from 1 species